AUUGGUGAGAAAGGCUUAUAUUUUGGGCAUUCGUUAAUCAGUUCACUCAGUUUUGAGAAGAGCUUUAACAGGAAGAACCAGGAAGAAGCGAAGUCGAAGACAGACUUGAUAAUUCAAGAUGAAGUUUUUUUUGAUGAGCUGCCUUGUACUGUUGCUGGCGGUGUGCAGUGUUGACCAGGCUGAAGGGUACAACAUCCAGGCAGCAAUCUGUACCGAGCAUUGCGACGCUCGUUUUGAUAUCUGCAGUGUGAGUAACGACGUGUCAGAUGAAGACUGUGACGACGAUUACUUUUCAUGUAUGGAGGAUUGCUGAAUACCAGAAGGAAAGCCACGAAGGCACGGCCAAAUAUUGAAUGAUUAACAAAUACCGGAUAGUUUUGUCUGAUGUAUGUAGAAACUACAGUCUAAUAAAGUCAGAGCAAGCCUGCAUGUAUCGUAGGUAAACUGCA